AAGUGGAGCAAUCCAUGAGUAUAGUGGCGACCGGGUGAGUAACACGUGACUACCUGCCCUUGAGUGGGGGAUAACCUCGGGAAACCGAGGCUAAUACCGCAUAAUAUCGCAAGAUCAAAGGAGCAAUCCGCUUGAGGAGGGGGUCGCGGCUGAUUAGCUAGUUGGCGGGGUAACGGCCCACCAAGGCGAAGAUCGGUAGCCGGCCUGAGAGGGCGCACGGCCACACUGGAACUGAAACACGGUCCAGACUCCUACGGGAGGCAGCAGUGGGGAAUUUUGCGCAAUGGGGGAAACCCUGACGCAGCAACGCCGCGUGGAGGAUGAAGCCCCCUGGG
rnacentral:rRNA from 1 species